GUUAAUUUUUAAAAAAAAAUAAAAAAUAGGGGUAUAUUUUUUCUCUCAUAAUAACAGUAAACAGAUUCACAACAAUGUCAAUUUCAAGAAAGCAGACAACAGUUAAUUAGUCAAUAACAGUACAGCAUCAAUGAUCUUGAAUAUAUGCCACUUUUAACUAAAAUAUAAAGGCACAGAACCAGGACAUAGGAGCACAGAACCAGGACCGUUUUUCUUAUCACCAGGACAGUGUCAGGACAAUUCCGUUUAACGAACUUGCACGACUUUUGCAAUAUAAUAUUGUUGUAAUAUACUUUGCAUGGUACUUAUGACGCAUCAGAGAAAAAUUAAGCAACAAAACAGUCGUUUUAUUGCCGUUCUGAUACAAUGUAAACAAACCCACCAGCACAGAAUCAGGACCCACCAGCACCUGACAGGACCAAAUCACCAGCACAGAACGUUCUCUCGCAGGACAACCAUACCCAC
rnacentral:lncRNA from 1 species